UUGUGGCUCUUGGGGAGAAGAGGCUGAAGAUGAAUACGGUACUAAUUACUGAAGUGACAAACAAACAUUCCAGAGGAAAGAAAAUUGGAGUUUUGGAGUACGUACCUUUGAUUAAAUUUAUUACCUACUAUUAUUCGGAAUUUGGACUUCUCGAAUUCCCUCUUUUUGUGACAAGAUAUGUUAGCCUCAUAAGGCCGCAUGGCGUUGCGCGUUUGUAAAAAGAUUGUUGGUUAGGAAGAUUCAGUACUCGUCUGUGUUAUACAAGAACAUGAAAGUGCGAGCGAACUGAAACAAAGGAGCAGCUUCUCGCUGUUGAAGAAGGGCAUCAAGCCAAUGAGGGAAGAUGUGGCCAACAAGGCGAAAGGCAGAUCACCCUCUCAAACCUGGAUGAAAUCUCAAAUCAUCACCAUCAAUUUUAUUGGUUGGAGAUUGUUAUACAAUACAAGCAAAUGAAGAGUGAUGGAACCAAGGGAGCGGCUUCUCGCUCUUUUCAAGAAGAGCGUGAAGCUGAUGAGAGAGGAUUUGGCCAACAAGGCGGGAGGCAGGUGGCUCAUCACCCUAUUUAAGAGCGAAUACACAUCUGGAAAACUUCAAUUUUGUUGGUUGGAGAUUAUUUUUGUCGGCCUUUAGACCUGAAAGCACUUCUACUAGGAUGUGACCUGAGGCCACAUUCUCAUGGAGUCAGAUAUAGGCCGACAUUGGGUUAAACAUUAUCGAUGGCUGCAAUCAAUCUCAAAUCUCAAGCCUGCCUGUGUCAAUUCUACAAAGCUUUCAACUUCUAUCGUCAAAAAGCCAAUGGAUGACACUGACUGCUGUCAACCUAAUUUACUCUGGAUGGCUGUGACUUCACUCAACAUACCAACUUAGGAUGGCCGUCACUCAUCAUCUGCUGUCCGCCAUGGGUAUCAGUCUAUUUUAUUUUAAAAUUAUUGCAUUCUUAUAAUCAAAAAACAUAUUUAGAAGGAUUAUUCCUUCAAUGUAUAUUCAACUGUUGAUUUUGUAUCACAGUUGCAGCACUCAUUGAAUACCAAAGAGAAUAAAUGAGCCUCUGAAAGGAAAAGUUGCAUAAGUCACUUUUACUUAGUUUUGAGAAAUUAAGACAUUCAUUAGAAAUGAUACCAUAAAUCUGGGACAGAAAAAAAUCUUUUUUGUUCAUAUCUUCAAGUAGAGAAAAUAUUGGCCUGUCUGUUAAGGUCUAUUUCCAUUGCAAUUGGAAAAAAAAUAACUUAAUUAAAUUAACAAAAUUAGGUAAAAUGUUGACUUAUGCCACUUUUGCUUAAAAAAAAUAUGAAUGAAAUACUUCAUUAAGUAAAUAAGAGCAAUACUUCAUUUUAAACCUGAAUUUUUUAUCAAGAUUUUUUGAAAAUAUUGAAUAAUAUCAUAGAAAAAAUAUAAAAAACACUUGCCUACAUAAAAAAGGGAAAAUCAAAAUCAUUUCAGGGUUUUCUUAUGUUUAUAUUAUUAUUUUAAGCAUCUUCUUCCUCUGACUCUCGAUUUACUAUUGGGUUGUCAUCAUUAUGACUUCCAUCAGAUAAGGAGUUGAAAAAUUCAUGGUGAACAGGUGGGAUGAACUGGAGCAAGUCCAUCAUAUCUCUCUUCUUCGAAACUGUGAGGCUUCGUGGUCAGCUAUAAAGUGGCCCCUUAAGUACACUACUCA